AGAGAACCCCUUUAUUCUCAGCUGAGACUUCCCCUUUUGUUCAGAUCACUUCCCAGCAGUGCCCUCUUUAUCAUCACAGACACAGGUUCAGCUUACAGAACAAGUUUAACCUCUUUCAAACUGUGUAAGAUCAUUGGAUUGUGUCAGAGGUCAGACCGUGACCAGUUAAUUCCACCGUGGGAAAAUGACAAUAGGUUUACUCAUCCAUUGUCUUCCGUCAUACCGGGGAGAUGGCUACAAGGAACAGGUCCCUGCAGCUUCCAGGAGCGAAAGUCCGGGGGAGGAUCGUCCACUAGCGACACCACCUCAUAGCCAUGGACGUCAUUUCCGGUAGCAGAACAAGACGGAAGGACCACAGAAGGACAGAUACCGUAGCUGCCGGGGCCCACACUGACACUGGGGCUGAAGACCAGGGAGCAGCCACUCUACUAAGCAUAUCCCAUACCAACAUCCUUAUCUGAGAGUAAUCCAACUGCACGUCAUAUACAUAUGUCCAUGAAGGUAUGAGAU